rnacentral:rRNA from 1 species
GAUCCUGGCUCAGGAUGAACGCUAGCGGCAGGCUUAACACAUGCAAGUCGAGGGGCAGCGCGGGAUAGCAAUAUCCUGGCGGCGACCGGCGGAAGGGUGCGUAACGCGUGAGCGACAUGCCCGUUGCCCGGGGACGACCGGUGGAAACGCCGACUAAUCCCCGAUGGGAUAUUGUGCCGCAUGGCACGAUAUUGAAAGUUACGGCGGCGACGGAUUGGCUCGCGUCCGAUUAGCUGGUUGGG